rnacentral:lncRNA from 1 species
ACAAAUGAGAAGACCUGAGGGAGUUGAUGAGCUGAGGCCAGGCUGGACCACUAGAAUGCAGCAAGAGCAGCUGAGCCCAGUGCUCUCUUCUCUAUUGUGGAGCGUUAGGGGGAGGGAGAUAAAUGAGGCCAUACUAUUGCAAUCACUUGGAAAAAUAUACAAAAACUUCCCAAACUACAAGAUGCUUUCUACUGCCACCAGACAUCCUUUGGAGGUUUUCCUACCGGUUAAUAACCAGGGACUUGUUGGCAUUUGACAGAGCAUCUUGGGUUUCUUACAUAAAAUGUGGAAUUGUCAACAGUCAGACCCUUCAAUGGCCAAGGCUGUGGUGCACAGUUUCUAUCAGCUUGUAUAGGAUAUCCUGCCUGGUUUUGGCCUCAGGGGAGCAAUGGUGAGAUUUCAUAGCUCACUGUCUUCUGGUUGAAGCAAAGGGUACCAAACAGAGGUCAAGCUUGGACCUCCUCAGUGAAGCUGGGACAAUCCAUUCACGUGUGAGGAGUACAGUGGAUUUCUGAAAAGCUGCUUUCCGUGUCUUCUUAUAGGAUACGGUAACAGCUCCUUACUGGAAGAACAUUUUUAGAGCUGCCAUUGAUGGACACAGAGGGCGUUAAAACCCAGAGCACAUAAACCAGGAUGAGAAAAUUAAUCAGAAGAUGAAAGACAGCAGCUUUGGGGGACCCUGGCUGAGCCCUCCUGCAUGCUCCUGGGACACCCUUUCAGACCAGCAGCACCAUCCCAUGCAGGGGCUGUGAUGAUGACUUAUAAUGUAGACAUCACCUCUGCUGGAGGACAGCCUUCGGAUCUGCUGAGUCCUUUCAUAACAAAUAAAACCAAACACGACAAAACACCAUAAGC